rnacentral:ncRNA from 1 species
UCCCUAUCUACUAUCUAGCGAAACCACAGCCAAGGGAACGGGCUUGGAAUUAUUAGCGGGGAAAGAAGACCCUGUUGAGCUUGACUCUAGUCUGGCAGUGUAAGGAGACAUAAGAGGUGUAGCAUAAGUGGGAGAUAGCUUGCUAUCGACAAUGAAAUACCACUACUCUUAUUGUUUCCUUACUUACUUGAUUAAAUGGAACGUGUAUUUUCACAUAGCCAUUAUAUGGAUAUAUUUAUUAUAUUUUAUGGUAUUUUGUUUUAAUACAAGCUUCUUGAUCAAAAUACUAAGAGUUUGUUAUAUAUAUCAAACAAAUAUAAUGAAUUAUUAUAUAGUUUCUUCGGUUUCUAUAUGGUAUAGUAAUUAUAUUUGGUAUAACUCCAAUACUCCGGUAUGAUCCAAUUCAAGGACAUAGUCAGGUGGGGAGUUUGACUGGGGCGGUACAUCUUUCAAAUAAUAACGAAGGUGUCCCAAGGCCAGCUCAGUGCGGACAGAAACCACACAUAGAGCAAAAGGGCAAAUGCUGACUUGAUCUCGAUGUUCAGUACACAUAGAGACAGCAAAAGCUCGGCCUAUCGAUCCUUUUGGUUUAAAGAGUUUUUAACAAGAGGUGUCAG